rnacentral:misc_RNA from 1 species
UGUGUGAAUCAUCCAUCUCAGAUUUUGCUAUCUGAAGCUCUUGUAAAUAACUCUUUGAAAUAGAUUCAGCUUCCUUAAUCUGAUUAACAAGUUCUGCACAUAUUUUCUCUCUAUGAACAUCUUUGUCCUGAAGUUCUUUCUGCAGACUUGCUAUAGCAGCUUUCAUAUCCUUUUGACCAAAUUCAGCAAUAUCAUUUUGCACACUCAUAAUAUCUUUCACAGCCAUGAAUAAUCUCUCUAUUACUGACCUAAUACCUUCCUCAGUAAACCGGUCAGUCAUCUCAGCCAAAUCAUGUCCUUCAGCUAAACUUCGAUACACAGAAUUGAUUUUGGGAGCCCCAGAAGCUAAGCUGCUUCCAACCAAUUGGGAUUUUCUGCUUUCAAUUUCCAUAACCAAAGUGGUACAAGCUUCAUAAAGCA